UAGAGUCAAAUGACGACAUCCUCUCGCUC
rnacentral:piRNA from 1 species